rnacentral:rRNA from 1 species
GACGAACGCUGGCGGCGUGCUUAACACAUGCAAGUCGAACGGAAAGGCCCUGCUUUUGUGGGGUGCUCGAGUGGCGAACGGGUGAGUAACACGUGAGUAACCUGCCCUUGACUUUGGGAUAACUUCAGGAAACUGGGGCUAAUACCGGAUAGGAGCUCCUGCUGCAUGGUGGGGGUUGGAAAGUUUCGGCGGUUGGGGAUGGACUCGCGGCUUAUCAGCUUGUUGGUGGGGUAGUGGCUUACCAAGGCUUUGACGGGUAGCCGGCCUGAGAGGGUGACCGGCCACAUUGGGCCUGCGAUACGGCCCAGCCUCCAACGGGAGGCAGCAGUGGGGAAUAUUGCACAAUGGGCGGAAGCCUGAUGCAGCAACGCCGCGUGCGGGAUGACGGCCUUCGGGUUGUAGACCGCUUUCGCCUGUGACGAAGAGUGAGUGACGGUAAUGGGUAAAGAAGCACCGGCUAACUACGUG